GAUGAACGCUAGCUACAGGCUUAACACAUGCAAGUCGAGGGGCAGCAUGAACUUAGCUUGCUAAGUUUGAUGGCGACCGGCGCACGGGUGAGUAACACGUAUCCAACCUGCCGAUGACUCGGGGAUAGCCUUUCGAAAGAAAGAUUAAUACCCGAUGGCAUAGUUCUUCCGCAUGGUAGAACUAUUAAAGAAUUUCGGUCAUCGAUGGGGAUGCGUUCCAUUAGGUUGUUGGCGGGGUAACGGCCCACCAAGCCUUCGAUGGAUAGGGGUUCUGAGAGGAAGGUCCCCCCACAUUGGAACUGAGACACGGUCCAAAACUCCUACGGGAGGCAGCAGUGAGGAAUAUUGGUCAAUGGACGAGAGUCUGAACCAGCCAAGUAGCGUGAAGGAUGACUGCCCUAUGGGUUGUAAACUUCUUUUAUACGGGAAUAAAGUGAGGCACGUGUGCCUUUUUGUAUGUACCGUAUGAAUAAGGAUCGGCUAACUACCGUG
rnacentral:rRNA from 1 species